rnacentral:rRNA from 1 species
GAGUUUGAUCUUGGCUCAGGAUGAACGCUGGCGGCGUGCCUAAUACAUGCAAGUCGAGCGAACAGAUAAGGAGCUUGCUCCUUUGAAGUUAGCGGCGGACGGGUGAGUAACACGUGGGUAACCUACCUAUAAGACUGGGGAUAACUUCGGGAAACCGGAGCUAAUACCGGAUAACAUUUAGAACCGCAUGGUUCUAAAGUGAAAGAUGGUUUUGCUAUCACUUAUAGAUGGACCCGCGCCGUAUUAGCUAGUUGGUAAGGUAACGGCUUACCAAGGCGACGAUACGUAGCCGACCUGAGAGGGUGAUCGGCCACACUGGAACUGAGACACGGUCCAGACUCCUACGGGAGGCAGCAGUAGGGAAUCUUCCGCAAUGGGCGAAAAGCCUGACGGAGCAAACGCCGCGUGAGUGAAGAAGUAUUUCGGUAUGUAAAAGCUCUAUCAGCAGGGAAGAAAAUGACGGUACUGAUUAAGAAGCCCGGCUAACUACGUGCCAGCCG